rnacentral:rRNA from 1 species
AUUGAACGCUGGCGGCAUGCCUUACACAUGCAAGUCGAACGGCAGCACGGGAGCAAUCCUGGUGGCGAGUGGCGAACGGGUGAGUAAUACAUCGGAACGUGCCCAGUAGUGGGGGAUAGCCCGGCGAAAGCCGGAUUAAUACCGCAUACGACCUACGGGUGAAAGCGGGGGAUCGCAAGACCUCGCGCUAUUGGAGCGGCCGAUGGCAGAUUAGGUAGUUGGUGAGGUAAAGGCUCACCAAGCCAACGAUCUGUAGCUGGUCUGAGAGGACGACCAGCCACACUGGGACUGAGACACGGCCCAGACUCCUACGGGAGGCAGCAGUGGGGAAUUUUGGACAAUGGGCGCAAGCCUGAUCCAGCCAUGCCGCGUGCGGGAAGAAGGCCUGGUUGUAACGCUUUGUCAGGGAAGAAACGCUCCGAGCCAAUACCUCCGGAGUAAUGACGGUACCUGAAGAAUAAGACACCGGCUAACUACGUAGCCAGCAGCCGCGGUAAU